rnacentral:lncRNA from 10 species
UCUCUCUUUCUGCAUGCAUGCACAGAAGAAAGUCCAUAUUAGGACACAGUGAAAAGAUGGCCAUCUACAAGCCAGGAAGAGAGGCCUUAUCAGACACCAACGCUGACAGCACCUGGAUCUUGUACUUCUAGCCUCCAGAACCUCUAAAACAAUGCUGAGUGAAAGAAAGCUUAUGCAAAACAGUACAUACUGUAUGAUUCUAUUUACAGAUUCUAUUUUAGAACAGUGGUUGUCUAUGGGUGGAGGGGUGGGCAUUCACUGUGAAGGGAACAUGAGGCAACUUUUGUGGUGAUGGUAUUUUUUUGUAUUUUCUGUCUCAGGAAAUUGUCCUUUUCACCUAAAUUUUUGAAUAUCUUGGCAUGAGAGCCCAAGUAGAGUGCAGAAUCACCUGGGUUCAGACGAUUCUCGUGCCUCAGCCUCCGGAGCAGCUGGGAUUACAGGU